rnacentral:lncRNA from 1 species
UUUUCUAGAUUUCAUCGCAUCUUUCCUUUAGACACAUUAGAAGAAUGAAAGAAAGAAGGAGAUGUCCAUGAAUCUUUAAUGCCAAUUUUAUGUGGUUAAUUGGGAAAAUAUUGUCUCAGGUUUACAGAAACAGAAAGCAGGAGCAGACAUGCAGGAUACAGAAACUACAGAAAGGAGGGAAAAGGAAUGGAAACAAACAUUUCAACAGUAAAAUUUCAAGAAAACAUAGCAUUAAAAAUAUCCCUCUGUUUUUUUUUGGACUCAUACUUUGAUUGGUGAUUGAUAGAGAAGGUUUGUGUUGGUGGUUUUCACGUGCAGGCAGGAUCUCAGAGACCAGGGAAUGUGGAUAAAACUUCUUGUGACUUUCAAAUCAGAGAAGCCUGGCAGGAGGGAGAGAAAAUUUACCAACAGGACAGUUCGUUACCUGCAGCAUCUUCCCAGAGGCCGGGGGCCCGCCUAGCAGCAGCAUUGCUUCUGGCAGCAGCCUUUCUGCUGGCAACAGCCCUUCCCACAGCCGCAGCCACAUGAGCCGCAGGUGCGGCGGCAGCAGCAGAUCACAGGUGUGCUGCAGCAGCCCCCACAGCAGCCGCGGCAGCAGGGGCAGCAGCUGGAGCAGCAGCCCACCCGGUAGCACCUGCAGGUGGUGCAGCUGCCACAGCCACCACCGCAGCCACCACCGCAGCCACCACCGCAGCCACCACAGCCACCACCGCAGCCACCACAACUUCCACAACCACAGCAACCCAUGGUGUCAGUAAAGAGGACUCAGGUGAAGUGAGGAAGGAGGACUUGAGAGGUGAGGAGGUCUGAUGCCUCCUUCUGCUGGGGGAGGCCCUUAUGUACCAACUCUGGGAAGAGGAGAGGGAAGACACAUGACCACUUCCUAGUUAUUG